UACGUAGGGAGCAAGCGUUGUCCGGAAUCAUUGGGCGUAAAGCGCGCGUAGGUGGCUUCAUAAGUCCGUUGUGAAAGUCAAAGGCUCAACCUUUGAAAGCCGAUGGAUACUGUGAAGCUAGAGUACGGAAGAGGCGAGUGGAAUUCCUGGUGUAGCGGUGGAAUGCGCAGAUAUCAGGAGGAACACCAAUAGCGAAGGCAGUUCGCUGGGACGGUACUGACGCUGAGACGCGAAAGCGUGGGGAGCGAACAGG
rnacentral:rRNA from 1 species